rnacentral:snRNA from 1 species
GUCUCUUCGGAGACAUCCAAUAAAAUUGGAACAAUACAAAAAAAAUUAGCAUGGCCCCUGCAUAAGGAUGACACACACAAAUUGGUAGAUGGUUUAAAUUUGU